GAUGGAAAAUGAAUUAGUCUAUGCCUUAGGAAGGCUACCUGAUGAUCUUUGCUGGUCUAUCCUAAAAGAAAAAGUAGUUGGGGGGAGAAGUACCGUAUGAACUAGAGCAAUUAAAGAGAGAGUAAUCAAAAGAUGUGAUGGUCUACCAUUGGCUGCAAGUGUAAUCGGAGGUCUGCUACGUUUAAAGAGAAAAGAGGAGUGGCGAGUGGCAAUCAAUUUUGGAGAAUAGGCUUUUGAGUUUGAGUGCAGGUGGAGACCAUAUGGUGCAAAUACUUAAGUUGAGUUUUGAUAAUUUGCCAUCACCAGCCGUCAAGAAAUGUUUUGCAUAUUGUUCUAUUUUUCCCGAGGAUGCUGAGAUGGAAGGGAUGUGCUGAUCGAACUUUGGAUGGCAGAAGGUUUCCUCCAUGCAGGUCUCGAGAACAAAACAAUGGAGGAAAUUGGAGAAUAUUACUUGGAAAUUUUAUUGCAGAGUUCGUUGUUUGAAGAAAUAAGAGACGAUGUGGAAGGUAUUAUAAAAUGCAUGAUAUGGUGCACGACGUCGCAAAAUCAAUAAUGUCAAAGUCUACUAGAUUCAUUAAUUCGGGACUGGUUCAGGAGACUAUAGUAAUCAGGUUCGCUGUCUUGUAAUAGACUCAUUUGGAGAAGGCACAAUAAAUCUUCUUGAUAGUCGAUCAAAUUUGCUUCAUACAUUGUUUCUGAGUCAGGGUAGCUUAUCUGAUGAUAUGCUAAUGAAGUUGAAGAAUCUGCACGUUCUGAAUUUGUCCGGUGAAGAAAAUCAGAAUCUGCCAAUCUCAAUUGGCAAACUGAGACACUUGAGGUACAUCAACUUUGAGCGUUCUAGAAGUGAAACUUUGCCGGAAUCUGUUUGCAAACUUUAUAAUUUGCAGACACUGAGGCUAAAUAGUCACUUUCUUAAAGUUCUUCCGAAGGGGAUGUGCGAUUUGAUUAGCUUGAGACAUCUCCACUUUCACACCUUUGAUAAAAAAUUUCAAAUGCCGCUAGAGAUGGGACGGCUGACUUGCCUUCAGACACUAAAGUUAUUUAACGUGGGUCGAGAGAAGGGUCGACGAAUUGGAGAGCUUGGAAGCUUGAAGAACCUCAAAGGCAGUUUGAGGAUAUGGAAUCUGGAACUAGUAAAGGAUAAGGAAGGAGCUGAGGAAGCAAAACUAUCUGAAAAGGCAAAUCUAUUUAGUUGGUACUUAAGUGGGCAGAUGAUCGAGAAGGCGACGACUACAACGACGAAGAUGUGUUAGAUGGCCUUCGACCGCACCCAAAUUUGGCGGAAUUGGUAAUUAAGAAUUUUAUGGGUGAUCAAUUUCCUCGAUGGUUAAUGGAUUUGCCAACAACAACACUCCCCGAGUCAGCAAUAACACUCCCCGAGUUAGCGCGUUUGCGAUUUAUAGCUGCGACAGAUGCAGAGAACUCCUCCCCUGCAAAACUUUACGUCUCUUAAAGAGCUGGUGAUUGAUGAGUGCGAUGGGUUGACGAAUCUGCCCGGUGACAUGCUACACUCUUGUACCUCUCUCCAGAAGCUUCAGGUGACUGAUUGCGGCAAUCUUAUCUCCUUUCCGCUUGAUUUGCAACGAACGCCUCUCUUUUGGAGCUGGCAUUAUACAGGUGUCCCAAACUGAAAACAAGCAUGACGCCCAAAGGAUUUGGUUUCCUAACCAGCUUAAGGGAGCUUGAAAUUGGUCCCUUCUCAGAUGAUCAUGAAAAUUCUUCAAUUUACAAUGAGUUUGAUUGGUCUGGAUUGAUAUCCUCCUCCUCCUCCUCUUCGUCAUCCGCACUCCGUGAAUUAGAAUUAUAUGGGUUGUCACACAUGGAGUCCCUGCCACCUCAGAUCCAACACUUGACCACUCUCACGUCACUAUUGCUACGUGACUUUGGAGGUGUAGAAGCUCUGCCAGAUUGGUUCGGAAACUUCGCUGCUCUUGAAGAGCUGUGGUUAAUUGGUUUCGAAGAGCUUCGACAUCUACCCUCUGAGGAUGCCAUGAGAAGUCUCACCAAACUAAAACGUCUGGAGGUUUAUGGUUCUCCUCUGUUAAAAGAAAGAUGCACUCCUGAGAGCAGCGGCCCCGAUUCCCAGUGGUCCAAAGUUUCUCACAUUCAAGACCUAGACAUAAGUUGAUUAAUAACCAACUUUCAUCUUUGGAUCAAAUUCAAUCAUGAUUGAUAGAAGAAUAGCUUCACGAACAGAGGUUAGAAUUUUGAAGCUUCUUCAGCACCAACUAUAUGGCUAGACCUCAAUAACUUUUGGCCUGCAUUUCCUACAAAUAGCCUAUCAACGUUUCGAACAACUAGCAGUCUUGUUUUGUUUAUUUUACGUGAUCUGCUUCUGUGGAUUUUAAGUUAUUAAUGCUAAAGUCAUCUCACUCUAUUUAAAAUUGUGAUUUUAAGGGACUGAACUUUUACCUCUUGAUAAUGAACUUGCAUACUUAUCUGAACUAUUUGACUAGUAAUUGCUCCAUCCGAGUCAUAUAUGAUGGUUUUCUGGCUCACUUCUCCUUGAUUUUGGCUUUUUAGCCAUGAAGACAAUAGUCAAUUGAGGAGUUUUCGCAGCUGUUGGUCAUCACUUUCAUGUUUUGGUUUAAAAAUUCUGGUAAUUUUAGAUAUGCUUCUCUUCUUUCACUGCUCAAUUUUGACUUCUAACCACUUUAAUAUCUAAUCUAUUACGUAUGAAACAAAGGAAAUCUUGUCGUCAUGAAGAUAUUUUUGAGGUAGCCAAGGAAGGUGUGUACUGUUUGAGCAAUGAAGUUGCACAAAACUUGGUGGAGUAUCUUCCAACAUUCAACUCUAAGCGCAAUGUUUUGAAGCAUUCUGGUAGUUAGUCAAGUCUGCUUGUUGUGACUUGAUGAUCUUAAUGAAUCCACCUUGAUAGAGGCUUUUAAGCUCUCUCUGCUUUUAUGAUUGUUGGUUGCUUCUUUUUUUAUGUGAUUUUAGGGACAAAACUUAACUGGGAACCUCAUCGAUGGCUCUUAUUUACUGUCUUUACUUCUGCAAAGUCCUACAAUUCCUUUCCGGAUGGCAUUCUUUUUUUCUCUGUGCCUCAGAUGGCCAAAGUCUGAGAUAUCCAUUGGGUAUGGUUCUUUUAAACUGUCCAAAGGAUCCAGUGAUGUGUAGUCAUGAGAAUGAGGUGCUGAUAUACAUGUUGUAGAACUCAAUUUGCAUCUCCGGCAUACUGCUCAUAGUUAGAAGUUAGAACUAAAUGGUGUUUUGGUAGCAGUUAAACGUGGAUCUCUGUUGUGCCUUAGUAGCCUACAGCUCUAUUGUUCCUCAAUGCCUCAAUGUGAAAUGCUUUGCAUGCGCUACAAAUUGCCCAUUAUUAUUUUCAGUUUAUGAGUUGUAAUUACUUUGUGGUUGGAACCAAACUACUGUAAUUAUAAACACGACUCAGCCUCAAAUGUCAACCAAAAUCUUCAAUUGCUCUUACUUACUCAUUGAAUUGCCCAGCUUGUAACUUUCGAAAACUUUGUUGAAUCAAAUCCAGUUUCAAUUGGACAGAUAUGAUUAGGAUGGCACAGUACAGGCACACUUUUCUUUCUUCCUAGUGUCUAAAACCUGAUAAAAUGCUCUAUCUUCGUCAACUGGCCUCUAUAAACUGCUCACCAGAGUUUCUUUCCCCAAGUUAUGUAAUGUCUCUCAAGAUCAAGAGUCAUCAUUACCGUGAAUUUCUGCUGAUGAUCAUGGGCGGUUUGGUUGGUGAUAGAGAUUGUUUUAGAGAAACCGACUGACAAUGAGAAGCUUACAAAUUUUCAAGUGUUCAAGAGCAGAUUACUUGAUGUGGACAGUUAAGCCAUGUCAAAGCUGAAAACUUUACAUCUACGUAGUAAAGAUUUGAGGAGUUUUCAGAGCUGUUGGUCAUCAAAUUGGUGUCUGGUUCUAAGAGUCUGGUAAGUUCAGAUAUACUACUCUUCUUUUACUACUCAAAUUUGACUUUUAACUACUUUUAUU